rnacentral:rRNA from 1 species
UACGUAGGGGGCAAGCGUUAUCCGGAUUUACUGGGUGUAAAGGGAGCGCAGGCGGUGAGGCAAGUCUGAUGUGAAAGCCCGGGGCUCAACCCCGGGACUGCAUUGGAAACUGUCUUACUUGAGUGUCGGAGAGGUAAGUGGAAUUCCUAGUGUAGCGGUGAAAUGCGUAGAUAUUAGGAGGAACACCAGUGGCGAAGGCGGCUUACUGGACGACAACUGACGCUGAGGCUCGAAAGCGUGGGGAGCAAACAGG